UACGUAGGCAGCAAGCGUUGUUCGGAGUUACUGGGCGUAAAGGGUGUGUAGGCGGUUUGGUAAGUGGGGGGUGAAAUCUCCCGGCUUAACUGGGAGGGUGCGCUACAAACUGUCUGACUAGAGUGUGGGAUGGGAGAGUGGAAUUCCUGGUGUAGCGGUGAAAUGCGUAGAUAUCAGGAGGAACACCGGUGGUGUAGACGGCUCUCUGGACCAUAACUGACGCUGAGACACGAAAGCGUGGGUAGCAAACAGG
rnacentral:rRNA from 1 species